GUCGAACGAACUCUGGUAUUGAUUGGUGCUUGCAUCAUGAUUUACAUUUGAGUGAGUGGCGAACUGGUGAGUAACACGUGGGAAACCUGCCCAGAAGCGGGGGAUAACACCUGGAAACAGAUGCUAAUACCGCAUAACAACUUGGACCGCAUGGUCCGAGUUUGAAAGAUGGCUUCGGCUAUCACUUUUGGAUGGUCCCGCGGCGUAUUAGCUAGAUGGUGAGGUAACGGCUCACCAUGGCAAUGAUACGUAGCCGACCUGAGAGGGUAAUCGGCCACAUUGGGACUGAGACACGGCCCAAACUCCUACGGGAGGCAGCAGUAGGGAAUCUUCCACAAUGGACGAAAGUCUGAUGGAGCAACGCCGCGUGAGUGAAGAAGGGUUUCGGCUCGUAAAACUCUGUUGUUAAAGAAGAACAUAUCUGAGAGUAACUGUUCAGGUAUUGACGGUAUUUAACCAGAAAGCCACGGCUAACUACGUGCCAGCAGCCGCGGUAAUACGUAGGUGGCAAGCGUUGUCCGGAUUUAUUGGGCGUAAAGCGAGCGCAGGCGGUUUUUUAAGUCUGAUGUGAAAGCCUUCGGCUCAACCGAAGAAGUGCAUCGGAAACUGGGAAACUUGAGUGCAGAAGAGGACAGUGGAACUCCAUGUGUAGCGGUGAAAUGCGUAGAUAUAUGGAAGAACACCAGUGGCGAAGGCGGCUGUCUGGUCUGUAACUGACGCUGAGGCUCGAAAGUAUGGGUAGCAAACAGGAUUAGAUACCCUGGUAGUCCAUACCGUAAACGAUGAAUGCUAAGUGUUGGAGGGUUUCCGCCCUUCAGUGCUGCAGCUAACGCAUUAAGCAUUCCGCCUGGGGAGUACGGCCGCAAGGCUGAAACUCAAAGGAAUUGACGGGGGCCCGCACAAGCGGUGGAGCAUGUGGUUUAAUUCGAAGCUACGCGAAGAACCUUACCAGGUCUUGACAUACUAUGCAAAUCUAAGAGAUUAGACGUUCCCUUCGGGGACAUGGAUACAGGUGGUGCAUGGUUGUCGUCAGCUCGUGUCGUGAGAUGUUGGGUUAAGUCCCGCAACGAGCGCAACCCUUAUUAUCAGUUGCCAGCAUUAAGUUGGGCACUCUGGUGAGACUGCCGGUGACAAACCGGAGGAAGGUGGGGAUGACGUCAAAUCAUCAUGCCCCUUAUGACCUGGGCUACACACGUGCUACAAUGGAUGGUACAACGAGUUGCGAACUCGCGAGAGUAAGCUAAUCUCUUAAAGCCAUUCUCAGUUCGGAUUGUAGGCUGCAACUCGCCUACAUGAAGUCGGAAUCGCUAGUAAUCGCGGAUCAGCAUGCCGCGGUGAAUACGUUCCCGGGCCUUGUACACACCGCCCGUCACACCAUGAGAGUUUGUAACACCCAAAGUCGGUGGGGUAA
rnacentral:rRNA from 2 species